rnacentral:lncRNA from 1 species
UGUAUUUCGCUCUAAGGUUAUCAUAGGCGUUUUUUAAUUGUCGUUGAUUCAAAUCCACGCCAAACUUUUCCUUAAUGGUUGUUCCUAAAUUGUGCCAUGAUUAUUUGUGUAAACUCAAACCUUUUCUACCCACGAUUUGCACUUCUUCAAUACAAGUUUGCGAUAAGCAUUUUGUUUGCUCAUUGGUCCAUGUAUAUUUAUCUCCCGUUGCUAAUAACAAAAAAAAAUAUAGAAUACAUACUUUAGCUACAAAGAUUAAUCAUAUUUCAACAUAAUCAACAUAAGUUUAGCAUAUUCAACAACAAUACAUCAUGAAUGAACAAAAAAAAAACUAUAUAAGCAAAUAUUAUACAACCCAAUCAACAAAUAAGUUUAACGAUUUAAGCACAAACUUGCAUAUAAGCGUAAACUUGAUCUCCAUUCAAGAAAUACAAGUGAUAACAAUUCAGUAAUUAAGUAUAUGAUUUCACCAUAUAAACUUGCAUAUAAGUUUAUGAUUUCAGCAUAUAAGUAUAUGAUUUUAGCAAGGAUUAUGAAUUUACCCAACAUUCAUAACAAUUCAACAAUGAAAUUCAUAAACCUAAAUAUAAUUUUGAGCAAGUUUAUAUGCUGAAUUUAACCAUCUAAUUUAUGAUCUCUAUUUUUUUUUAUAGUUUAUAUCUUGCUUUUACUUUAUGCAAAUAUGAAAUAUGCUUUCAAUUUCAAGAUCAUGUAAAGACGUAAAGUAGUAAAUUGCUUUCUAGACACUAGGCUAGGCUUAAUAAUUUGCAUCUUAUUUACAUAGAAAAUAAUCAGACUAUCAUAUUUAUUUAAUGAGUUUUUCAUUUUGGUUAAGUUCCUGAACCACCGGCAUAAUCUUAUAUGGAGAUUUAAGAAUUGUUGAAAAAAAAAAGUUUGUAUUUUAUUUGUUGAUCACCGAUUCACUGUUGUCCUCUAAAAAAUCAGCAGUGGUACUCGAUUGCAUAAGAAAUCAGAAAAAAAAAAUACCUGAUGUUGAAGAUGAUGGAAGCAAAGGUCAUGAUGUUGAAGACGAUGGCGGCAGCAGCAACGGCGACCGCGCGAGGGAGGGUGAACCCCCACCGGNACCGGCGACCGGAGAGGGAGGGGCAGCGGCGGCUGGAGUCGGUCUUCAGAUCGAUGAGAAGGGUGCCGAGAAGAAGAAGAAGAACGAACGAACGAAGAAGGUGUGGAACAGCAUUUUUUUGUUUAGGGCGUAGGGUGUUUUUUUAUUUAGAUGAGGUUAGAAGUGGUUAGAAGAGCCAAGCCCAACGAUGUGUGGGGAAGAAGACGGGAAGAGGUUUUUGAGCCCGAAGUCUGCAAAAAAAAAAAAAAAAAAAAAAAAAAAAAAAAAAAAAAACUGUUGCGAACUUAAAAGUGUUGUGCGUGUGCUGCGCCACGCAGCACUAAGAGGUUAGAAGAGUUUUUUUUUUUUUAAAUAAACACAACCUUAGAGUUAGAUACUCGUUCAAAGAAACAUCAAAGUAACGGAUAUUACUUAGGAUGAAGAGAUAACGUAUUGAGUCAUCAAGUGAGCCCUGUUUCGUUGAUGAUUCCGGGACGUAAUCAUCCUAAGGGGGAGAUAAUUAUAACGCCUGUAGAUUCGGGCUAGUCAAUUUAGAGAUAAUAGGGGUCGAAAACAACUUUUCGACAAAAGAUUAUUUAGAAUAAAUAAUCUUAACCAAGUUGUAGAAUAUGUCUCAAGGGUUCCAUACAUAUAAAGAGUGUUGAAAUCUUAACCAGGUUGUAGAAUAUGACGCAACACACGCGCAACACUUUUAAGUUCGCAACAGUUUGCUUUUUUGCAGGCUUGGCUCUUCUAACCACUUCUAACAUCAUCUAAAUAAAAAACACCCUACGCCCUAAACAAAAAAAACGCCGCUCCACACCUUCUUCGUUCGUUCGUUCUUCUUCUCGGCACCCUUCUCAUCGAUCUAAAGACCGACUCCAGCCACCGCUACCCCUCCCUUUCCGGUCGCCGGUGGGGGUUCACCCUCCCUCGCGCGGUCGCCGCUGCUGCUGCCGCCAUCGUCUUCAACAUCACGACCUUUGCUGCCAUCGUCUUCAACAUCAGGUAAUUUUUUUUUCUGAUUUCUUAUGCAAUUAAGUACCACUGCUGAUUUUUUAGAGGACAACAGUGAAUCGAUGAUCAACAAAUAAAAUACAAACUUUUUUUUUCAACAUUUCUUAAAUCUCCAUAUAAGAUUAUGCCGGUGGUUCAGGAACUUAACCAAAAUGAAAAACUCAUUCUAUAAAUAUGAUAGUCUGAUUAUUUUCUAUGUAAAUAGGAUGCAAAUUAUUAAGCCUCGCCUAGUGUCUAGAAAGCAAUUUACUACUUUACGUCUUUACAUGAUCUUGAAAUUGAAAGCAUAUUCAAUAUUUGCAUAAAGUAAAAGCAAGAUAUAAACUAUAAAGAAAAAAUAGAGAUCAUAAAUUAGAUGGUUAAAUUCAGCAUAUAAACUUGCUCAAAAUUAUAUUUAGGUUUAUGAAUUUUUGUGUUGAAUUGUUAUGAAUGUUGGGUAAAUUCAUAAUCCUUGCUUAAAUCAUAUACUUAUAGGCUGAAAUCAUAAACUUAUAUGCAAGUUUAUAUGGUGCUGGAUUGUCAAUCCCGUAUAGAUCUAUACACAAGUAUCACGCUCUCCCCACAAGAGCUUAUGGUUUAUAAUACAGGACUUUAAAUGUGUACUUGAAGGUACGUGAAGUCGAAUGUCUCACAAAAGUUUGUAUCAGAUACAUUUACGUAUGAAAAGUCCAUUUUUUUGUAAAUGUAAGUAUUUCCUUUCAAUAGUAUUUAUAGAGUGUAAAAUAUCAUGAAUAUCUCGUAAACUAUACAUAUUAUAGUUUUUCAAAAGUGUGUUUCAUUUAAAUGAUAAACCUUGGUGUAUUACCAACUUUGCAUGUAAAGUAUAACGUUUGUAUUUUAACAUUAGUUUAUGAUUUGUAUUUUAACAUAAGUUUUUCUUGUGUAUCACUUGUAUUUCUCCCCCUAAAGUAUAAUAAAAACAUGAAAAUAUAGGGGUAUGAACUCACCUAGUAAGUGUGAUGAUUUGAAGAAAACAAGACUUUUCUCGGGCAGCACUUCAACUGGAAAACGGUAAAUGUUUUGGGAGUUUCGGACCUUUGGACCUUUGUCGGAGUUUGGAUACGUAACAGGGGCGUCGGGAUAGUUUCGAGAGGCUCGAAAGUAAGAAAAUGGGAGAGAAAUGGUGUAAAUUAGCAAAACAAGUCGGAACCCUCGCAUCUUAUUUAUAGGGUGAAAAAUUGGAGUUCACGUCGUGAAUUAUGUUAUGAUCAAUUCGUAGACUCGACAUCUUAUAGCCUGACUCUUGGUAAACGUCUAUCACUGGUUCACAUCGUGAACCUCCUUUGACUCACGACAUGAAUCCUGACAGAUGUGGAAGUUCAUGCUCCGAACUUCAUAAAUUCAUAUCUCUCGUAUACGAGCUCAGAUUUUGACAUUCUUUAUAUCCACGCAUAGGUGAGAAUUUAAUCUACAACUUUCAUUUAGACUUCGUUGGCAAAUUUUGACUUUAUUUUUAAUUAUAUAUUUUUAAUAGUCUUGGACAGGAAAAGACCGUUAAAAAUUCAUAACUCCUUCAUAUUAUGUCCAUUUUCAUCUGUCUUUUUACCGUUGUACUACUAUUCUAGAGAUCUUCAAUUCUCGUUUAGGUUGUGUCGGCUAAAUAUCACUUGAUCUCUAUUUCGAGUUUUUAGCUGUCUACUGCUACUCCGAAACUUAGAAAAAUCGCAACUCCUUAAUACGAAAUCAGAUUUGGACGAUCUUUUUAUGUACGUUCACGGUUUAAUGAUAUCUACAACAUUCAUUUAAAUACUUAAAGCUAAGAAGUAUUUUAUUGAAAUUUCACAUUUUACACUUAAUAGUGUUUUACCGGUUUUGAUGUGUAUUUUCGAUUUGUCAUAACUUCUUCGUUAUAACUCGGAUUUUUGUGUUCUUUAAUUUUCUGAAAACCUUGUUACGAUAUCUACUACUUUAUGUAUCCCAACUGAGGCUUUUGAACAUUACAUUUCUGAUGCUAUUUUUAUUUAUUAAUUAAUUCAAAAUAGAUUACAAUAUUUGACUUAGGUCAUAACAUUGACUUGAAAUAUCGGAUUGUCACACUUGGUGCCUAAACCCUGGCGAUCAUGCAGACUUGGUGCCUAAACCCUGGCGACUGUGCGGACUUAGUGCCUGUUGUAUAAACCUUGUCGACUAUACAGACUUAGUGCCUAAAGCCUGGAGACUAUGCGGACUUAGUGCCUCUUUUAUAAAUCCUGGCGAAUAUGCAGACUUAGUGCCUAAACCCCGAUGACGAUGGACUUUGUGCCGAUUCCUUAGGAUGAUCCUUAGGAAUGAAUGAACGAGGAAUAGUUGAUUCUUAGGGUAGAUCCUUAAGAGUAAAGAAGAUAAUGGGGAUGGGUAAUUGGGUUAAUUUUUGAUUAUUAAACAUAAUAAUUAUAUUACUGUGGGUUGAAAACCCUAUGUACUCACCAGGUUUCCCAACCUGACCCACUCAAUGGUGUAGAGCUUUUUGCAUCUCCAGUGCUAAAUCAUCAGCAAUAAUAGAAGCUUUAGGUGAGGCAUAAGAAGGUGGAUCAGGUGAGGCACUAGGAGCUCGAGGUCUAGGAGUUAAGGGUUUAGCCCUUUUGUUGGGGUUACCAAAAGGUGAAUCAACAGAAGGUGGAGGCUGAGUAAAAUGCUCACUAGUAUGACUGGAAAAAAAAUCAUCCUCAUCUAUGUUAAUGGAAGGGGCGUCCAUAAGUUGUAGUGGUGCACCAUGGAAAGAAGAUGAUCCAUGUCCUGAUGGUGUUUAGGAUGUGGCAUAGCUGAGAUUACCAGAUGCACUAUUUCCAUCAAAGAGUUCUGCACAAAGCUCUGGAAACACUAAUGGGACGGUUUUCAAAGAAGCAGCUUUCUGAUGACCCUAAACGCAAUCAAUGUAACAAAAGUAGUAUAAGAAUAAACGAUUUAGACAGAUAGUCAAAAUCACCAUCAUUCACCAUAGUAUUCUUCUCAUUCCAGUCAAUCACACCUAAAACCCCCUAUCCAUCAUUCCAUCUCUAAGACAAUUAACCUCAACACCAGGUAUAACAACCUUAUCAGGAACAUUCAACCCUUUAUCUUCCUCAUUCAACAUCUUAUCAUUUCCAACAUUAACAUCAACAACAAUUUGAUCACCAUUCAUAGCCAACUCAGUAGAAGAAUCCAUAUGAUUAGCAAUAGAAGGGCUAACAGUCGUCAACGGACUCUUCACAAGCUUUAAAUCAGAAUUAGGUCUGGACAUCACAACCUCAUCCAUAGAAAUUUCCCGGUUCUUAGAAAGAUUAGCAGUAUUACUUGAUGGAAUAGAGAUUCCGUGAAUGAUCGAAGGCAACAUCUUAUUAAGUUCAAGUCACUUGAAAUUGAAAAUGAAACCUAGUAUGGGUCUUUAUAUCUCUUAGGUAUUAAUAGAAUUUUAUAUGUUUUUUUAAUGAAUCCAUAGUUUGGGUGAAUUGUAUUUUUGAUGCUAAGAAAUAAAAAUCGAAAUAUGUUAUAUGUAUGAAUUGAAACACAAGUAAAAUGCAUACAUCUUGUGUUUAUGAAUUUGUAUCGGGGUGACAAGUGAUUUUAUACAUGUUAUUUCAGCUUAUAUAGACAAACACUUUGUUUUUACUCUAAACUUUAUAUGAUUUAUUUGCUAACUGAUUCAAAGACUGCAUUUUGGAGCACCAUUUGAACAGUUGAAAUUUUGACACUUGUCUAAAAAGCAACUACUAUAACAACACAUGAAGUGUAACAUUUAUGAUGUCUCAUAUUAUUCUGUAUAUAUUUCUCCCAGAAUAAAUAUGACGAAUGAUCAGCCACAACAAGAAGUAGAACCACAACCACAGCCACAACAAGAACCAGAACCACAGCCACAGCCACAACCAAGGAAAAAAAGAACAGCCACAAGACUAAUCGACCAUAAAGAGCCACAAGAAGUUGAUUUCAACAAUAUUGGUAUGUAUGUUAGGAAGAAACAAAGUAAGUUUGCUAACGAGUGUGGUGUUAUUACGAGGUCGAUGACUUCUGUUGAAUAUACGAGUUGGAAGAAAGUGCCAAUUGCUCAAAAAGAUAUGCUAUGAUCGACAAUUAAGGUUCGUUAUCUACAUAAGACUCAUUACAUGUACUUUCAUCUAAUCAAGAUAUGUUAUUAAUACUUAGUAUCCUUAUUCUAAAACAAAAACAGAAACGUUGGAAUAUUCCGAAUGACAACCGUAAAAAAGAUGUGCUUUAGAACAUUCAACAGCCAGUUGAGAGCCUUCAAGAAAAGGCUUAAAAAGAAAUGUGGUAACCAAAGAGAUCCACUUGAGACCUACUCAUAUUUGGAAAGAAAUACAUUGCAGAGCUUUAGACAGAGAAUAUCAUCAGAGGAGUUCCAAGUGUGUUGGACUUUAAUUGCACAUAAUUAUAUUAGUUAUUGUGUUGCAUUGUUUUAACUGUGUUAAUUAAUUUCAUUUGCAGGAGAUAAGUGAGAAAGCAAGGGCGAGUUCAAUGAAUAAUAAGAAUCUUGCCCGUGUAGGACAACUUGGUUACAGGGGCAAGAAAGCUGAGUGGGAACAAGAGAUGGCAUCUGGUCAAUUGACACCCCAAUUGUAUCAGAUAAAAAGCGAGUGUUCACUACAUUAUGUUAUGGGUAGAAGGUCUAAAAAUCAGUUGGGGUCGAACAUAAUACCACCUACCAUACAACCCAUACUGCACAAGCUUGUAAGCAAAUUCUUUUAAUCAUUUAUAUCUAGGUAAUUACUCUCAUUGGUUUGAUGUUUUCGUUAACAGGUUGAUGUCCAGACUUAAAUCUCUCUGAAGGAGAUUUGGUGCUCAAUCCAAGAGAGGACUUAUUGACAAAGGUAAUAGGACCGAAGCACCCAGGCCGUACCAGGGCUGUUGGUCAUGAUGUUGGAUUGAGAAAAAGGAUGCAAGGGACUGACUAAAAAAAAAAAAAAAAAAAAAAAAGAGGAAAAAACAUGAAACGAAACUAUUGUUAAAUUGCAGGCAACGAUAGAUCAGAUGGGCUCCCAACUGGCAAAGCUACAAGCACACGUUUACUUACAGCAUGGGUCUACGAACCAUGCCCCAGAUGAUGUAAGCUUAGGGGUUCAACAAAAUAAUUAUGGCUCGACUCCAACAUUAGAUGCUUUGGAUGCGAUAAAGGUAAAUGAGUGUAUUUAUUUUCCAGUAACAUCUAGUAAAUGAGUGACUUACAGCAGGCUAAAAUACUAGUUUUAUUACAAUAUUUGUGUUAGAAAAUGCAACAUUGUAAAAAUUGUGUUUGAGUUUACCUUAAUAUCAUCAUUUUGGUUGAAUAAUUGAGACAAAAGACUCUAGUUUUUUAACUAAAAUGUUUUCUUAGAAGGGUUUGAACUAUAAUAGAUAUACUUAAAAUGGUUAAAAAUUCAAAUAUAGUUAUUACAUUAUUAUGCACUUUUUUGUUUAUUAUCCUUCAAAGAUCUUUUAUUUUUAUUUUUGUUUUACUAUAUAUGUACAGAUGCCUACCCCUUAUGAAUUGGUGUUAUCUUAUGGGGAGUUGUACCAAAAAUGUGUCAAUGGAUUGGUCUUUCCAUAUGGGAAUGGGUUAAUACACACAUUGCCUUUACGAGAAAAUCACAUAAAGGUUAUGAUAGACGACAUCGAUAGUAGAUAUGAAAACUUUCCGAGAAAAUCACCUGGAGGUUAUGAUAGACGACAUCGAUAGUAGAUAUGAAAACUUUUCGAGAAAAUCACCUGAUGGUUAUGAUAGACGACAUCGACAGUAGAGGAAAAUCACCUGAUGGUUAUGAUAGACGACCGACAGUAGAGGAAAGUUUUCAUAUCUACUAUCGAUGUCGUCUAUCAUAACCUUCAGGUGAUUUUCUCGUAAAGGCAAUGUGUGUAUUAAUCCAUUCCCAUAUGGAAAGACCAAUCCCUUGACACAUUUUUGGUCCAACUCCCCAUAAGGUAACACCAAUUCACAAGGGCUAGGCAUCUAUAUACAUAUAGUAAAACAAAAAUAAAAAUAAAAGAUUUUUGAAGGAUAAUAAACAAAAAAAGUGCAUAAUAAUGUAAUAACUAUAUUUGAAUUUUUAACCAUUUUAAGUAUACCUAUUAUAGUUCAAACCCUUCUAAGAAAACAUUUUAGUUAAAAAAACUAAAGUCUUUUGUCUCAAAUAUGCAACCAAAAUGAUCAUAUUAAGGUAAACUUAAACAAUUUUUACAAUGUUGCAUUUUGUAACACAAAUAUUGUAAUAAAACUAGUAUUUGAGUCUGCUAUAAGUCACUUAUUUACUAGAUGUUACUGGAAAAUAAAUACACUCAUUUACCUUUAUCGCAACCAAAACAUCUAAUGUUUAAGUCGAGCCAUAAUUAUUUUGUUGAACCCCUAAGCUUACAUCAUCUGGGGCAUGGUUCCUAGACCCAUGAUGAAAUGGGUCUUAUGUAGAUAACAAACCUUAAUUGUCGAUCAUAGCAUAUCUUUUUGCGCAAUUGGCACUUUCUUCCAACUCAUAUAUUCAACAGAAAUCAUCGACCUCGUAAUAACACCACACUCAUUAGCAUACUUACUUUGUUUCUUCCCAACAUACAGACCAAUAUUGUUGAAAUCAACUUCUUGUGGCUCUUUAUGGUCGAUUAGUCUUGUGGCUGUUCUUUUUUUCCUCGGUUGUGGUUGUGGCUGUGGUUCUGGUUCUUGUUGUGGCUGUGGUUGUGGUUCUACUUCUUGUUGUGGCUGAUCAUUCGUCAUAUUUAUUCUGGGAGAAAUAUAUACAGAAUAAUAUGAGACAUCAUAAAUGUUACACUUCAUGUGUUGUUAUAGUAGUUGCUUUUUAGACAAGUGUCAAAAUUUCAACUGUUCAAAUGGUGCUCCAAAAUGCAGUCUUUGAAUCAGUUAGCAAAUAAAUCAUAUAAAGUUUAGAGUAAAAACAAAGUGUUUGUCUAUAUAAGCUGAAAUAACAUGUAUAAAAUCACUUGUCACCCCGAUACAAAUUCAUAAACACAAGAUGUAUGCAUUUUACUUGUGUUUCAAUUCAUACAUAUAACAUAUUUCGAUUUUUAUUUCUUAGCAUCAAAAAUACAAUUCACCCAAACUAUGGAUUCAUUAAAAAAACAUAUAAAAUUCUAUUAAUACCUAAGAGAUAUAAAGACCCAUACUAGGUUUCAUUUUCAAUUUCAAGUGACUUGAACUUAAUAAGAUGUUGCCUUCGAUCAUUCACGGAAUCUCUAUUCCAUCAAGUAAUACUGCUAAUCUUUCUAAGAACCGGGAAAUUUCUAUGGAUGAGGUUGUGAUGUCCAGACCUAAUUCUGAUUUAAAGCUUGUGAAGAGUCCGUUGACGACUGUUAGCCCUUCUAUUGCUAAUCAUAUGGAUUCUUCUACUGAGUUGGCUAUGAAUGGUGAUCAAAUUGUUGUUGAUGUUAAUGUUGGAAAUGAUAAGAUGUUGAAUGAGGAAGAUAAAGGGUUGAAUGUUCCUGAUAAGGUUGUUAUACCUGGUGUUGAGGUUAAUUGUCUUAGAGAUGGAACGAUGGAUAGGGGGUUUCAGGUGUGAUUGACUGGAAUGAAAAGAAUACUAUGGUGAAUGAUGGUGAUUUUGACUAUCUGUCUAAAUCUUCUAAAUGGGAUGAUAGUGGUAAUGUGGUGGUGGAAUCAGAUGCCGAUUCUGAUGUCGAAUUGAGUAAGGAAGAAGGGGAGGUCAAGGAUUGUGCCCCACUGGGAAAAAUUUCUGAUGAAUAUUUGAUAUUGCAGAAGGCUGCCACUGUUAUCAACAUCAUUAAUCUGGAACCUUCUCUUCUAGGUGAUGCUAAUAAGGGAAGACAAGUUAUGGAUGCUUUUAAUUAUGAAGGUGAAAAAAUUUCUAUUGAUCCUAUAGAUAAAGAUAUUGUUAGUAAUAAAUUGUCAUAUGCUGGAGUUCUUAAUGGUAGAACUCAUAAAGGAAAGUUGCGAGUUAAGUAUAUCCCUUCAAUUGAUGGUUCUGAUGAAGGGCCUGUGGUUCUGCCAAUUGAUAAUUUGAAGAAGGCAAGUAUUCCUUUCUUGAAUACCUUGUAUGGUUAUUUGCUUGAUAAGAAGAUUGGGUUUCCUGUGAAUACCUUGUAUGGUUAUUUGCUUGAUAAGAAGGUUGGACUGCUAGAGAUCAAAAUAGGAAGUGGAACCGGGGGAGUGUUAGCCAUUGGAAUCAGCAAAAGAAUUAGCAGUAUGUUGCUGCUAGUAAUAUUUCUAACAGUCUGGAUAUGCAGGGGCAUAAUGGGAAAGGAAGUGUGAAUUCUGGUAGUUUAAAGAAAACAGAGAAGGGCAAGGGUAAUAAGGACAAUCAUAAGGAUAACAUGAGUAGUAAUUUUGUGAAUGUGAAUCGUUUUGCUAUUUUAAAUGAUAUUACUAAUGAUUUUGUUGAUAAUUUAGAGAAGAGUAUGAAGAGUCACCGGGUUAUUUCUUCCAAGUCCGGUUCACGUCGGUUGGACUCUAUUUCUCAGCCUGAUCCGGGUAGGGAUGGCAAAAAAACCCGAACCCGACGGGGAAACCCGAUUCCCGAAUUUUUCGGGUCAGGUCGGGUCAGCACUAUCGGGUAUCGGACCGGGUUUCGGGUUCUUAUCGGGUAUUUUUUCCGGGUUCGGGUCAGGGAGUGGGUUGUGUCUGCCCCGACCCGCCCCGCCCCGAAUAUAUAUAUAUAUUACACUUCAGCCCUAACAGUAACAAAACUCGUUGUCUCGUUCCGUCGUUCGCAAAUCGCAACAAAUCACACUUCUCACUCUUCUCUUCGUCUUCUACUAACUCUUCUAGGUUACAGNCAGCCCUAACAGUAACAAAACUCGUUCCCUGGUUCGCAAAUCGCAACAAAUCACACUUCUCACUCUUAACUCUUCUAGGUUACAGUCGAGACCGAGAGCCGACAUUCCAAAUCGCAAGCUACGAGCCUGCUGCCUGCGAUAGACGAUCGACGUCUUCGAUAGUUCGAUCGAGAGCCGACAUUAAUAGCCGAGACCGAGAGCCGACAUUCUACUAAUCUUCUCUUCGUCUUCUACGAACGACUGUCUUCGAUAGUUCGAUCGACGCCACAGUGACGCUCACGCACAAGGAACAAUCACAGGUAAUCGAUCAUUCGGUCGCAUCUUUCUUUAAUUCUCUUCAUUUUUCUUGAAAUUGAGCAUAUGUAAUCGAUCACUACUUGUAUCUUUCUCUUCAAUCGGUCACUGUGACUUGUAAAUGUGUAUCUUUCUCUUCAAUCGGUCACUACGACACUACCUGUGGUAAUUUGGAUUCUUGAAAUCAAUUAGAAUAUGUGUCCUACAGUCCUACUGUAAUCUGUUUCUUUCUUCCCUGUAUCAAUUUCUUAAAAUCAAUUUCUUAUUUAUGGCUGUGAAUCUGUAAAUCUUUCUUUCCCUGUAAAUCUUUCUUUCCCUGUAUCAAUUUCUUAGAAUAAUGUCCUGAUGGCUGUGAAUCUGUAAAGUAUGGCUGUAUCUUUUUCAUUUGUGUGACCCUGUGAAUCUGUAAAGUAUGGCUGUAUCUUUUUCAUUUGUGUGACCCUGUGAAUCUGUAAAGUAUGGCUGUAUCUUUUUCAUUUGUGUGACCCUGUAUGGCUGUAUCUGUAAAGUAAUUUCUCUUCAAUCGCUCACUGUGACCCUGUAUGGCUGUAUCUUUUUCAUUUGUGUGGUUAAGAAUAAUGUCCUGAUAGGUAAACUAAUAUUUUUCAGGAAAUAUGAAUUCAACUAGUCAAAAUCAUGCUCCAACUGCAAGUAGUCAAGAUGUGGGAGGUUCGGGUUCUAAUCAACAAAAUACUGAUUCUGUGGAUCAACAAGAUGGAACAAAUAUUAAUGAUACAGACACAGUUUUUGAUGAAGAUGGAGAUGAAGUUGUUGGUUCGAAAAGAGCAAUACGUUCACCGGCAUGGCAACAUUUUAUAAAAUUUAAAUUGAAUGAUGAAGUUAAAGCAAGAUGUAAACAUUGCUCUAAAGUGUUGGGUGCAGAUAGCAAGAAUGGCACAAAACAUUUACUUGCACAUUAUCAGCGUUGUUUACACAAACCUUAUCCAGAUAUUCGUCAAUCUAUCUUGGUGCAAGAAAAAAAGAAAUUAGAUGGUACUACAACGCAUGUUUCAAACUAUACAUUUAAUGCUGAUACUUCUAGGAAGGAUUUGGCUGAAAUGAUUAUUGUGCAUGAGUAUCCGCUUUCAAUUGUAGAGCAUCAUGGAUUUAGGAAGUUUGUGGGAGGUCUUCAACCUUUGUUUAAGGUUCCUUGUCGAAACACCAUCAAGGACGACAUCAAAAGAAUUUAUGAUUACGAAAGGGAUAAAACUAUGAGUUUGUUAGCAAAGACCAAAAGCAGAAUUGCAGUUACUACUGAUAUGUGGACAUCUAAUCAUCAAAAAAAAGGAUUUAUGGCAAUGACAGCACAUUUUGUAGAUCAAAACUGGAACUUGCAAAGCAGAAUUAUGAGGUAUAUUAUACUUAUUUAACUAUAAUUUAUACGUACUUAUUAUUUAUAUGUUAAUAUUAACAUAUAUAUUUAUAUAUUCUUAAACAGGUUUAUUUACGUGCCUUGUCCGCAUACAUCUGAUGUUCUUGCCGACAUACUUUAUACUACUUUGUGUGAUUGGAAUCUUGAUAGGAAAGUGUCAACUCUUACUGUGGAUAAUUGCACCACAAAUGAUGCAAUUAUCAGGAUAUUAUUAGAGAAACUUCCUCUAAAAUCACUAAUGAUGAAUGGUGAUUUGUUUCAUAUGCGUUGCUGCGCACAUAUUCUCAAUCUUAUUGUCCAAGAUGGCUUAUCUCUCAUUAAAUUUGAGAUUGAGAGAAUCAGAGAGAGUGUUGCAUUUUGGUCUGCAUCACCAAAGAGGGAGCAAAAUUUUGUGACAGCAGCAGAACAGUUGGGAAUACCAUACUCAAAGAAGUUGAUACUUGACUGCAAGACACGGUGGAACUCUACAUUCUUGAUGUUGAGUGUUGCUAUAAGCUACAAAGAGGUUUUCGAUCGGGUAAAGACAAGAGACUCGAAGUAUACAUGUUUUCCUACAGAAAAGGAUUGGGAGUUGGCUAGUGAGAUUUGUGAAAGAUUACAACUUUUUUAUGAGGUGACUGUUAUGUUCUCUGGUUCAAAGUAUCCUACAGCUAAUGUUUUCUUUCCUUUGAUAUGUGAGAUUGGGUAUUCUUUGCGUGAGUGGACGAAAUCUCCUAUUGAGGAGAUUAAGAUGAUGGCUGACCAAAUGGUUUCUAAGUUCAAUAAGUAUUGGUCUGUAAUUCAUGGGGUAAUGGGAAUGGCAGCGGUUUUAGAUCCACGAUACAAAUUAAAGUUUGUGGAGUUACUUUUUCCUGUACUUUAUGGAGAAGAAAAGGCAAAGAUUGAAUUUCAAAAUUUGGAGGCGUUUGUCCAAACUUUGUUUCAAGAGUACGUGUCAAGUAAUGCAUCUAAAAAAAGGAAGAGUGAAGGUAUUAUAUUCUUCUUAUUGUUUGUAUAAUAAAUAGAUCAUAUCUUAAAUUAUUAACAUUUUUAUAAUAAACAUUAGGUUUUUAUGGUGGUUCAGUUCCUGGUUCAUCUUCAUUUGGUUCUAGUAUCUCUUCCGGUCAUCGUGUUGGAUUCAAAAAGCUCUUAUCGGAUAUUGCUUCUAUUACUAGAGAUGAUGAUGAAUCAGGAGGUAUGAGUGAGUUGGAUAACUACUUGAAGGAGAAAUUGUUGCCUAAAGAUAUGGAACUUGAUUUGUUGGCAUGGUGGAAAACAAAUGGGAUUAAGUACCCGACACUACAAAGGAUAGCUAAAGAUAUAUUAGCUAUUCCUGUUUCCACUGUUGCCUCGGAAUCAGCUUUCAGCACUAGUGGAAGAUUAGUAAGUCCUCAUCGUAGUCGACUUCAUCCAAAGACAUUGGAGGCUUUAAUGUGUGCUCAAAGUUGGUUGUUGAAUGAAAUUCGAGGUAGUAUACUAUUUUAUAUUAAUUAUAUGAAAUUGUGAUUUUUUUUUUGCAUAUUAAUAAUAUUAAUUUUAUGUAGCAACUUGUUCUGAAGAGACCGAGGCAUAUUGUCGUUCUGUUGAAUUUGAUUAUGAUGUGGAAGAGGUAAAACGACACUUCUAAAAAUAUUAAUUUUAUAUCGUUUCCAUGAUUUUGUUUGAUUUUGAGUUUGUUUAAUAUUUUGUAGGAAAACACUAAAGAAAACGGGACAACAAGUUUGGAUGAUUUUGUUUGAUUUUGAGUUUGUAACUUUGUUUUAAUGUUAAUUGGUAAUGUAUUAUUGUGAUGAAUUAGUUUUUCAUGUUGUGUACUUGGAUGUUUUGGUUGGUUGGUUGAUGUUACAAUAUUAGACUAUUAGUAAUUUCUAUUUGGUUAAAUGAUUGAAGAACUUAUUUGGUAUUUUAAGCCUAUGCAACGUCUUAAUUUAUCAUUAUGUAUUUGUAGUUUUUCCUUCUUCUUUUUCUGCCAUAUUUCGGGUUAUAGGGUCGGGUUAUCGGGUAAUUAUCGGGUUUCGGGUUUAGGGUCGGGUUCGGGGAAAGUUUCAGCCCCGACGGGGCGCCCCGAUAAGAAACCCGUCGGGUAUCGGGUCGGGUUCGGGUACAUAUGUGAAAAUCGGGUUCGGGUUUGGGACACCAUGCCCCGCCCCGUUGCCAUUCCUAGAUCCGGGUCAUAUUAAUGCCACACCUAUUGGGAUUAAUUAUGUUAUUAAUUCCAAGGAAGAUUACAAUAUGAAGAACCUGGUUGAUGUUGCUUCUAAUAAGUUUGUGGGGGGUGAGGGUAAGGAUUGUUUGAACCAGGGUUGUGGUGAGAGCAGUUCAAAAAAUUUUGAUGUUGCGUGAUGUUUAGCUUCCAGUUGACUUGGGUUUGGGUUGCUGCGCAGGGUUGGAGAGGUUUGUUGGGCUUCAGGUGGAUUAUGGCUUAGGAUUAUUGCUGUUCUCCUAGGCUGUUGAGGACUUGGAGUUGGUACUUUUUGGUUUUGGAGGUUUUUUGUUUUAUGGUUUGUUUUUUGUGGGUUAGAUUUUGGUAUGUUGGUAGUAGUAGAAAAUGGCUAAGUAUUUGGAUUUGGAUAGGUUGGAUUGGGUUUAGCCUUUGGUUUUUGGUUUCUGUGGGUUGUAAGCGAGAAAACACUCAAAUAUUGUUAGUCGUGAUCAAAGAGACCCAAUUUGUUUCGAUCUAGUCCUUUAGGCAUAACAUCAAACACUUGGAAGGCAUAAUAAAAUAACCCUUAACACUCACCAUUUUCCAGCAAUAAGAACUGCCCACAUGACUUGAAACUUAUCAGCAAUUGCAAAUGAGAUUCAUUAUGAAAAAAUGAAACAACAAUACGAGGUUAAGAUUGAGAAUAGAAGUGGGUUAAGUUUGAAUCAAGCAAAUAGUCUAGCUGAAUGAACAAACAGUGAGUCAAUUGUGAUCAACUAAAAUUGAGUGCGAAAGUUAUUACUUGAAAUAAACAUACAGUGGAUCGGAAAUUCAAGUCACGUAAACGGAUUCCAAAACUUGAUACAAAAAAUGAGUUUUAGUCGAAAUCUUACAGCAAUACGUAGCGUUUCUUCAUUGAAUAUAGCAGCCAGAAAACUUCGAUUUCAUGUUGAUUUAGAGAGUCAGUGUUUGCGAUCGGUGGUUUUCAAAGUUGUAGAAGCAGAUAGUAGCUUGGGAAUCGCGUGAAGGGGCGGGAUAAUGAAAAUUUAUGGCGGGAUAACAAAAAUUGAUAGCAGUAUUGUUUUAUUUGGUAAUAUAUGUUGCAAAUUAAUUUUUAUGGAAAUCGGCUAAAAAAAACAUAAUGAUCAGUUAUAUCGUAAAUUUAAUUUGUAUAGUUUAAUUGCGUAUCUUAUCCCACCCAAAAAAAAAUCAACAACCUUUAUAGAUUCGAUUCAUUAUUUAUCAAAAAAAAUAUAAUCAAAACUUAUAUAGAUGUUGGUUAUUUAAAAUAAACAAUUUUUUUUAUAAAUAAACUAUGCAGGUAUAAUUUAUCAAAACAAAUGUUUGAAUUUAGAAAAAUGAGGUAAAAAAUAGCAAAAGAAAUUCAAGAAGGGAGAAAACCCUAAAAUGAAAACUACCACCGUUGCUCCACCAUUUCCAGCUAUACUCCUUUCCAGUUUUCAGCUCAUCUCCAGCGAUCGUGUCUCCUUUCUUUGCAUCUCUACUAAUUUGACCUCUCAUCUUCUUAAAUGUUCAGGUUGUUUUAUUGUUCUUGAGAUCUUGAAAUAUGAUAAAGUACAGAGCAAUGUUGAUAAUUCGUUUUUGAAAAUUGAAAUAUAACAAGAUAAGAGAUAAAGUUUGGAAAGUGAAUAAAAAUGACAAAAAAAG